rnacentral:rRNA from 1 species
GAUGAACGCUAGCGGGAGGCCUAACACAUGCAAGCCGAGCGGUAUUUCUUCUUCGGGAGAGAGAGAGCGGCGUACGGGUGCGGAACACGUGUGCAACCUGCCUUUAUCUAGAGGAUAGCCUUUCGAAAGGAAGAUUAAUACUCUAUAAUAUAUUAAUUGGCAUCAAUUGAUAUUGAAAACUCCGGUGGAUAGAGAUGGGCACGCGCAAGAUUAGCUAGUUGGUGAGGUAACGGCUCACCAAGGCAAUGAUCUUUAGGGGGCCUGAGAGGGUGAUCCCCCAAACUGGUACUGAGACACGGACCAGGCUCCUACGGGAGGCAGCAGUGAGGAAUAUUGGUCAAUGGGUGCAAGCCUGAACCAGCCAUCCCGCGUGAAGGAUGACGGCCCUAUGGGUUGUAAACUUCUUUCGUACAGGGAUAAACCUAGAUACGUGUAUCUAGCUGAAGGUACUGUACGAAUAAGCACCGGCUAACUCCGUGCCAGCAGCCGCCGUAAAAC